ACGAACGCUGGCGGCGUGCUUAACACAUGCAAGUCGAACGGAAAGGCUCCAGCUUGCUGGAGUACUCGAGUGGCGAACGGGUGAGUAACACGUGGGUGAUCUGCCCUGCACUUCGGGAUAAGCCUGGGAAACUGGGUCUAAUACCGGAUAGGACCGCACUUUGGUGUGUGUGGUGGAAAGGUUUUUCUGGUGUGGGAUGAGCUCGCGGCCUAUCAGUUUGUUGGUGGGGUAAUGGCCUACCAAGACGGCGACGGGUAGCCGGCCUGAGAGGGUGGACGGUCACAUUGGGACUGAGAUACGGCCCAGACUCCUACGGGAGGCAGCGGUGGGGAAUAUUGCACAAUGGGGGAAACCCUGAUGCAGCGACGCCGCGUGGGGGAUGAAGGCCUUCGGGUUGUAAACUCCUUUCGCUAGGGACGAAGCUUUUUGUGACGGUACCUGGAGAAGAAGCACCGGCUAACUACGUG
rnacentral:rRNA from 1 species